rnacentral:rRNA from 1 species
CAUUAGAUACCCCCGUAGUCCUAGCCGUAAACGAUACUCGCUAGGUGUCGGCCACGGUGCGACCGUUGUCGGUGCCGUAGGGAAGCCGUGAAGCGAGCCACCUGGGAAGUACGGCCGCAAGGCUGAAACUUAAAGGAAUUGGCGGGGGAGCACCACAACGGGUGGAGCUUGCGGUUUAAUUGGAUUCAACGCCGGAAAUCUUACCGGGACCGACAGCAACAUGAAGGCCAGGCUGAAGACUUUGCCGGAUUAGCUG